UGUUCAUUGGCAGGCAGCGCCGCUUUCAUCAUUUCUCAGAAAAGUCAAUUUCAUUUUCACUUCCCCACGUCGCGGCAGCGGGAGCAACAAGCGGCUGCGCUAGCUGAGUGUGUAACCAUUUGAAGGGCAGCUGUCAUCAGGGACACCGCCUGGAGCUCCGUCUGGGGGCGAAAAGGAAGGCCUUCCCCUAGUAAGUCACCAGCAGCGUCCUCCCAGACUGAGUGUGCAACAGAAGUUCCCUCCCUGCAGGAUGAGAUGGGCAAGGGAUGGAACAUCCUAGGACCAUCUACCUGGAUGCAUCAGGACUCAUUUCUUUUCAAGGGAGUCGAGAAAGGAGAGUGAUUACUUGGCCAUGCAGCAAUUGACCUCUCCAUGAUUGAAACUUAAAGAUACAUUCAAGACAGCUGUUUUCAAAAGACACUAUGAGGGCUCAGUGCGUUGUGUGGGCCUGCGGCUGCCCACCCUCCACAGGACCGUGCUCAGCAAUUUUGGAGGCGACGAAGAAGAAAGAGGCCUGCUUCCCGAUCUUGAGGCAUUUGCGGUCCACGUUGGGAGACAGGGCCCACAGUGCAAAGAUGAUUAUUUCAAGACAGAAAUGGCAUGUGGCCCCACUCCCAGGUAACAUUUUAAUACAUUCAUUUAUCUGUUCAUUCAGCAUCUGUUUCUUGACUUUAUAGUAAUUAUCUCUCUAUUUUUAUAGUCUAAAUGAUAUUUUCUAAUAUAAAUAAUACAUGAUUAUAGAAGAAUAUUAGAGCAAUACAGACUUCUUUGUAGUGACAAAAUCAGAAAGAACUUGAAUGUUGAUAACUGAAUGAUUGAAUAAACUGGGGUUGAUCCAUUCUGUGGGAUGUUAUGCACCAAUAAAAAAGAACAAAUUAAGAAUAUCUGUUGUUCUGGACAGGGGACCAGGAUGUAUUAUAAAGAAUGAAGAUCAAAAUGCAAAGAAAGGUUCAUAUUUUGAUCUCCUUUUUGCAAAGACAACAGUGGACACCCCCUAAAAAAAGUUUGAAUUUAAAAGGAUAAAGGUGUAGAUAUGAAGCUGUUAAUAUUGGUCACCUUAAGGACAGGUGAGCUACUAAUUUUUUUCUUUAUUUAUUUUUGUACUGAGGAAAAAGAUGAUAGGGCUUCCCUGGUGGCGCAGUGGUUGAGAAUCUGCCUGCCAAUGCAGGG